rnacentral:misc_RNA from 1 species
CUAAGCACUUGAACCCGAAGACGUGUAUUGUUGUGGAAAAGAUGCAGGAUUUGAGACGAUACAGAGUUCAUGCAGGUGGUAGAAGAGGAAGAGGUCAAAGAAGGAACAUGAAAGAAACACAAGAGGCUUACUCGUUGAAGAUGGCUAUAGUGUAGUGCUUCAAACUCCAAGUUGGCAAGUUCUGGGCUUCUGGCUGAGGGACUCUCUUCUAUUGUAAUCCAGAGAGUCAAAGAUGGUCAACUUUUGCUGAGGGAAGUGAAUCUCACUUCCCAGGUCUCCCUUCCCAGGCCAAAGAAGUUUCCAGUAUGGACUGCAGCUGCAUAAGGAUUCUUUUCAAAAUUCAUCAGCGCAUCCAAGUUCGUAAAAGUGUUGGCGUAGAACUUAUCUUUCAUUGGAAAGUAAAGGGACAACAUCCCCAGCGACUUAAAGAUGACCAAUCAACCUUUGUCUGAAAAGGAAGGUGAAUCUCUUAUCCCAGGCACCAAGAAGUUUUCAUCAUGGAAUCCUGCUUCAUAUUACACCUACCUCAUGAUUCAUCAACUUCCACAAACAGGACUAUGGGAAUUAGACUUAUUAUAUCUAAGUUUUCAUCAUGGGCUCUUGCUUGAUAAGACUUUGUUCACGAUUCAUUAAAGGACAAGUCCACCCGGGGGGGGGCACUCAAAUUGUUUUUUGAUGGGGUGUGCCUCCCGAAACUCUGAAAUGGGGGUCUAAGGAACUGACUAAAAGGGUAAAAUACGGGUCUUGGGAAGUAAAUAUACCGAACGGUGUGAAAAACAGGGUCUACGGAAUGGGAUCGCGGCACUAUACGUUGCACAAUAUAUAGCGCUGUGCAUGCGCUCGCCAUGCAUAGAGCGGCUACUAGUUAUUAUGUAGGGAGUUGCAAAGACGUACGUGCAUCUCUCGAAUGCAGUGGUCGCGCUGGACAAUUUUGGUAGGGCUAGAGAACUGAGAUGUCUCGUAACAGGGGUCUUGCGAGCGCGACUGGGCGGCUUCUGAACUGAACUUUUGUCAUUCGGAGUAUCUAGAGAACUGAAACUUGAGUCUGAAAAAGGGGGUCAUCAAUACGUCACAUCCCCGUAUCACCAAUAUAUGCGAGUGCCUCUUCCGGUUGGUAUGCAAAUGAUGACUGAGGGCUGAUGACAAAACCCUCUGACUUUCUUUUGUAUUUUAUUAAAUGAAAUAUGAAAUAUUUAAAAUAUUAAAAAAAAUGUAUCACAAUUC